rfam:Schistosoma curassoni strain Dakar, Senegal genome assembly, scaffold: SCTD_scaffold0008485
AUCCAGCUGACGAGUCCCAAACAGGACGAAGCGUGCGUCCUGGAU